UACGAAGGGGGCUAGCGUUGUUCGGAAUUACUGGGCGUAAAGGGCGCGUAGGCGGCGUGUCAAGUCAGGCGUGAAAGCCCCGGGCUCAACCUGGGAACAGCGCUUGAGACUGGCACGCUCGAGUUCGGGAGAGGAUGGUGGAAUUCCCAGUGUAGAGGUGAAAUUCGUAGAUAUUGGGAAGAACACCGAUGGCGAAGGCAGCCAUCCGGACCGACACUGACGCUGAGGCGCGAAAGCGUGGGGAGCAAACAGG
rnacentral:rRNA from 1 species